rnacentral:rRNA from 1 species
UACAGAGGUCCCAAGCGUUGUUCGGAAUCAUUGGGCGUAAAGGGCGCGUAGGUGGUUCUGUAUGUCUACCGUGAAAGCAUACAGCUCAACUGUAUUUUGUCGGUAGAAACUGCAGGACUUGAGGCUGGGAGGGGCUGGUGGAAUUCCCUGUGUAGCGGUGAAAUGCGUAGAGAUGGGGGAGAACACUCGUGGCGAAGGCGGCCAGCUAGACCAGUUCUGACACUGAGGCGCGACAGCGUGGGGAGCAAACAGG